UAGGCAUACGAGAAUGAAACUUCUGUACAUUUUAAUCUGAAUAAUUCUUCAGGAUUUAAAAUUAAUUGGCUCUAGCUUGGUUGGACCGGACUCGGAUCUCGCCACCGCUGCGUUUCCCGAGUCACUGGCGGGGAGAGGUGAUCUUCUUCUUCUUUUUUUUUUUUUUUCCUCCCUGAACUGGGUUUAUGUGCGUUCCCCCUCACCCCCUCCUCUCUUUUUCUUUCUCUGUCUCUGUCGUCUCUCUCGCUGGCUUUUUAAAAAUGAGGAACCGUUCCUUGAAUGUUCUGGACAGAGCACAGAAUUGCUUCUUAAGUCAGCCCGACGCGGUUGCAAUAGACAGCCAAAAGGUAAACGUUUGCCUGAAAUCCGCACGCCAGUUCCGCCACCCCGCCCGAUGGUCUCGUUUCCUCUGGGAUUGCUCCUGAGCGGGCUGUCUUCAUGCCAGGGGCGGGCAGUCGAAUCGCUGGCCUUCACGGGACCACUGGACAUCUGGCAGAAAACCGGAAGCCGUGACUUCGCUCAGCCGGAAAGCUACGAGAUAAAGAAAAAGGAAGGUUCACUGGAUUAUCUGAGGUCGGACUGCUGGGGUGAGAAUUGAACCCCAUCCUAGUUGACGACAGAGUUUACACUCUUAUCAUUCCUCAUGACGUGUGGAUAAUUUUAUUUUUUAAUGCUUAUUGAUUUAUCUUGAGAGAACAAGAGAGAGCGUGCACCCGUGUGUACGCGGAUAAGGAGCGGAGAGAGAGAAUCCCAAGCAGCCUCCCCACCGUCAGCACAGAGCCCUACGUGGGGCUCGAUCCCACGAACCGUGAAAUCAUGACCUGAGCUGAAA